rnacentral:rRNA from 1 species
UACGUAGGGUGCGAGCGUUGUCCGGAAUUAUUGGGCGUAAAGGGCUCGUAGGCGGUUUGUCGCGUCGGGAGUGAAAUCCACUGGCUUAACUGGUGGCUUGCUUUCGAUACGGGCAGACUGGAGGUAUGCAGGGGAGAACGGAAUCCUGGUGUAGCGGUGAAAUGCGCAGAUAUCAGGAGGAACACCGGUGGCGAAGGCGGGUCUCUGGGCCGAUACUGACGCUGAGGAGCGAAAGCGUGGGGAGCGAACAGG